AAUCCAUGCAUAGGGCACUUCUAAGUUAAAUCUUUAAAUCGUUCCCAAGCUUCAUAUAUCGUCUCAUCCUCUAUUUGCCAAAAAGAUGUGAUUUCGUUUCCCAACUU
rfam:Gossypium hirsutum cultivar TM-1 chromosome 22, whole genome shotgun sequence